rnacentral:rRNA from 1 species
UGGGGGAUAUUGGACAAUGGGGGAAACCCUGAUCCAGCGACGCCGCGUGAGUGAAGAAGUAUUUCGGUAUGUAAAGCUCUAUCAGCAGGGAAGAAAAUGACGGUACCUGACUAAGAAGCCCCGGCUAACUACGUGCCAGCAGCCGCGGUAAUACGUAGGGGGCAAGCGUUAUCCGGAUUUACUGGGUGUAAAGGGAGCGUAGACGGCGCGGCAAGUCUGAAGUGAAAGGCAGGGGCUUAACCCCUGAACUGCUUUGGAAACUGCCAUGCUAGAGUGCUGGAGAGGUAAGUGGAAUUCCUAGUGUAGCGGUGAAAUGCGUAGAUAUUAGGAGGAACACCAGUGGCGAAGGCGGCUAUCUGGCACAUAACUGACGCUGAGGAGCGAAAGCGUGGGUAGCAAACAGG